rnacentral:rRNA from 1 species
UACGUAGGUGGCAAGCGUUGUCCGGAUUUACUGGGCGUAAAGAGCGCGCAGGCGGUUGAUUAAGUCGAAUGUGAAAGCCCCCGGCUCAACUGGGGAGGGUCAUUCGAUACUGAUUGACUUGAAGGCAGGAGAGAGAAGUGGAAUUCCCGGUGUAGUGGUGAAAUGCGUAGAUAUCGGGAGGAACACCAAUGGCGAAAGCAGCUCUCUGGGACGGUACUGACGCUGAGACGCGAAAGCGUGGGGAGCGAACAGG